UACCCACUCUCUCUCUUACUCUCUGAAUUAUCAGAUUGCUGGUUUCCAUAGGCUGAACCAUCCAAGGUCUUACCCGUAAACCCAUUGUACCCAUUUUCUCUCCUACUCUGAAAAUUAUCGGGCUGCUGAUACCCAAUCUCUCUUCCACUCUGCUGAUUUUUGGGUUGUUGGUAUCCAUAAUCCUUUGGGGCUGAACCCUCCAAGGACCUCCCAGUGAACCCAUUGUACUCGCUCUCUCUCUUACUUCCCAAAUUUUGGGGUUGUGAGUACCCAUAAUGAUUAGUUCCUGAUCCUUUGUACCCACUCUCUCUCUUACUCUGUGAAUUAUCAGAUUGCUGGUUUCCAUAGGCUGAACCCUCCAAGGCCUUACCAGUAAACCCAUUGUAACCAUUUUCUCUCCUACUCUGAAAAUUAUCGGGCUGCUGAUACCCAAUCUCUCUUCCACUCUGCUGAUUUUUGGGUUGUUGGUAUCCAUAAUCCUUUGGGGCCGAACCCUCCAAGGACCUCCCAGUGAACCCAUUGUACUCGCUCUCUCUCU
rnacentral:lncRNA from 1 species